CGGCGAUUUUUUUUCGGGGAUGGGGGGGUUGGCUGCAACGCCCAGGCACAGGGAAUUCCUGGGAACGCUGACUUCACGCUACUCCUCUUGCUGCUCUGUCCUCCGGCCAAGGCCCAGGCCAGCCAUGGGGGCCGAGGUUCUCAUGGAGUGGUGAGCGGAGGCCUGGGGCUUGCAGACUCUCCGGGCUCCUGGGCUGCUGCCCGUGCCCCAGGCAGCUGCUCAGGAGCUGGGGGAGGUGGAGGACGGCCAGGCAGCAGGUCUGGCAGUUUCUUGGCAGAGUUUGACUACAAUCAAACCGUCUCCACAAAACAUCGCGAUGAGCCAGCACAUUCCAAUGGGGAAAUGUCUUGUCUAAGUGUUUCUGACCAACUCUCGUGCGGCGGCUUUCUCACUUUUCCUCCUGGCUGUGUUUCUGAAGGAAAAAGCUCUUCAAGUACACAGCCCUGGCUGGCGAUGCUGCAGGUGGGACUGUGCUGUCUCAGCUCCGGGGUCCCACUCCAGGCCCUUCAUCUAGGCUCUGACACACCUUGGGAGAACCCUACCAGUGCUGUGCUGAACUGCCCAAGGAGCCCUAAACAGACAAGAGGGGAAGAAGGUGUGGGUGCCUCAUGGCUUGAGCAGCCCCACCUUGUAGCUGAGCACUGCAAGGAGCAAACCCUGAGAAGCCAACCACACCAGGCAGCAGGAGACCCCCAGAAGACCCCCUGAGACCUUCAGCACUGCUACCAUGGGGGAACUGGAUGGGAUGGGGCCAGGAGGAGAGAUACUUUUUGGGCUGAAAGCGGAUUUCCCCACAUAGCUGCAUGGAGGAUGCUGUGCUUAGGAUGGUGGUCCUGUUUCCUGCCCUCGGCAAACUGACCCUGACCGGGACGUGUGAGGGGGGAUGCGCCCCCCCAUAGCCCCCCGCUGCAGGCAGCUGAUGAGGUGUGAUGUGCUGGGGGCCAGUGGCAGCACGCAGCCUCUCCCUCUGCAGCGCCCUUCCUGCGCGUGCGGCCCGAGUAAAAACACCUGGAGCCAAUUUCCAGCCCCAGAAAAUAAAUAAAAAAAAAGGCGAGGCAUUUGAAGCCUCACUCGGUAAACAA